UACGAAGGGGGCUAGCGUUGUUCGGAAUCACUGGGCGUAAAGCGCAUGCAGGCGGAUCGUUAAGUCGGGGGUGAAAUCCCGAGGCUCAACCUCGGAACUGCCUUCGAUACUGGCGAUCUUGAGUCCGGGAGAGGUGAGUGGAACUGCGAGUGUAGAGGUGAAAUUCGUAGAUAUUCGCAAGAACACCAGUGGCGAAGGCGGCUCACUGGCCCGGUACUGACGCUCAGGUGCGAAAGCGUGGGGAGCAAAC
rnacentral:rRNA from 1 species